GUAUUUUGUUUUUUUUUAUGUACAUUUAUAUUUGGGGCGAGGUUUUAUGCUUUUGAUAACCACAAGUUUUUGGGGGUUUUUUUUAACUAUAUUUGAUUGCUCUUUUUAUUGAUUUUAUAUUUAAACUACCUGUAAUUCCACACUUGUACUAUAAAUGUUAUAUUUACAUUUACUGAUGUUGAACACUAUGGAUGAGAGUAGCUUCCCAACAUCAGAUUUCUGCAGGUAACAGUAUUCGGACCACAUCACUAGCUCCACUGUGUCUAUGAUCCGAGAUGCUUCUGCUGAUCAGGAGCGCAGGAAAGCGUCCAAUUUGAUGCAUUCGGAUACCGUCUAGUCUACGGAUAACUCAGUUACAUCUGGGAGACAAAAACUAAAGCCCUCCAGUAAACAACGCCACAGUUUGUCAAACUUCAAGCUAAUAAAAUACUUCAAUCAAAUA